UGUGUUAAAGGCUUUGUCCACAGGGUGGUAA
rnacentral:piRNA from 1 species